CCUACGGGAGGCUGCAGUGAGGAAUAUUGGUCAAUGGACGAGAGUCUGAACCAGCAAAGUAGCGUGAAGGAUGACUGCCCUAUGGGUUGUAAACUUCUUUUAUAUGGGAAUAAAAUGUUCCACGUGUGGGAUUUUGUAUGUACCAUAUGAAUAAGGAUCGGCUAACUCCGUUCCAGCAGCCGCGGUAAUACGGAGGAUCCGAGCGUUAUCCGGAUUUAUUGGGUUUAAAGGGAGCGUAGGUGGAUUGUUAAGUCAGUUGUGAAAGUUUGCGGCUCAACCGUAAAAUUGCAGUUGAAACUGGCAGUCUUGAGUACAGUAGAGGUGAGCGGAAUUCGUGGUGUAGCGGUGAAAUGCUUAGAUAUCACGAAGAACUCCGAUUGCGAAGGCAGUUCACUGGACUGCAACUGACACUGAGGCUCGAAAGUGUGGGUAUCAAACAGGAUUAGAUACCCGGGUAGUC
rnacentral:rRNA from 1 species